UAUACAUAUGAAGAUGUAUACUCAAGGUUACAUUAUUAUUUUAUGUCAAAAGGGUACAUCCGCUCAACUCCACUCCAUUCCAUCACCCGCUCAACCUGCACAUUAGGGAAAACAACAUGCAGGGCUGAGUAAAAAUACUCAGUGAACAUAUGCCGGAAACAUAACAUUUUAUAUCAUUUAUUGUACUGCCAACAGUAACACACAGGGUUUUACUUGAAGGACCUGUGCUUACUAAACAUUUUCUUUCAUUUCAUAAAGUUGGAUGCG
rnacentral:lncRNA from 1 species